GGUUAUCUGUCUUUCACUGCGGAUACCGGGAAGGGAGGCCGGACCGCGAGGGAGACGCCAAGAGAAUUGGCACUUCGGAGGGAAGUCCGUGCAAAACGUCUCCAUCUAUCAUGCUGUCUGGGUUUCCACAGCAGCGUUAUUGACACAGUAAAUUAAAGAAGGCACACAUCAGGUAGCUGACGGAGCCGAGGCGUCAACAGCAAACUUAUAAUCGCAGCUCUGUCACAGUGGGAGGAAGAGGAAAAUCUGACGCCCAGGAGGACAGGAAAUCGCAUGCCAAAAACACAUUACUCCUCAACCCCAAUUUGCACAGAUGACAGAGAUGAUGUGGUGUCCUCUUCCCUCUCAGAUGGUGAACUGGAACACCAUGGCACCCUUUAACAUGCUGAUGGGACUAUGAUCAGACACAGUGCAUCAAAUCGAGCUGUAAAUGUACACAAGAAACUUUGGAAAUGUAAUCACCAAAACCACCUACAGAUGUGGUCAGACAUAAGACAUCAGAUUUGUCCAUAAUAACUAAGUGUUAUGGGAAAACAUGGGAGUUAGUUAUUUGACAGACUUAGCUUUAAUAAAAUAACUUGUUAAAGAAAGUUUGAUUUUUAGUGCCUGAGAAACAUCAUCAGGUGCUGCUGUUUUGAGUACUUUUGCAUGAGCAAGAUGUUAAACCCUGUAAGAUUUGGGCUUUUUUCUGCUUUUUCAUUUGUGCUAAUCACACUUAAAAUAAAAGUUCUAGCACUUGUGUUUUGUCCCACAGACCCCACUGCUAUUAUAUCAAAUAAGAUAAGAUAUUCCAUGUUUUAUAUAAUAUGAGUUUUGAAUGAAUAAAUAUAGAUUACAUGUUAGUUGGAGCAGGGUUUGUAUCUUCCAGUUUUUUCCAGGAAAAAACCAUACAUUCUCACUCCCAACUCAUCACAUAUGGACGCUUGGUUAGGACCCCAUGGCGUCACAUUGUAAGGCACUGGGUACCCCAUUAGUGUCAUCUGUCAAUAUGCAGAGGCCUGCAGUUAGCAAUGAUAAA